AGCCGGGGAGAUAGCGGUGCCCUGUACCUGCAAUCCGCUACAGCAGGGGUGAUAUCCUGUCGAGGAUGCUUUUUUGUCGGGCCGCCCCGGAAAAGUGGCGUUGAAGCUCUGGUCUUACGCAACGGGAAUUCGUGAACCGUGUCAGGUCGGGAACGAAGCAGCACUAAGCGAAAGCUCCUGUGUGCCGUAAGGGCGCCGGAGCAGAGCAGGCUAUCCGGGUACCGCCGGUGAAGGGCAUUCGACACAGGAUGCGCG
rnacentral:SRP_RNA from 1 species